rnacentral:rRNA from 1 species
UACGUAGGCAGCAAGCGUUGUUCGGAGUUACUGGGCGUAAAGGGUCUGUAGGUGGCCAACUAAGUCAGACGUGAAAUCCCUCAGCUUAACUGGGGAACUGCGUCUGAUACUGGAUGGCUUGAGUGUGGGAGAGGAAUGCGGAAUUCCUGGUGUAGCGGUGAAAUGCGCAGAUAUCAGGAGGAACACCGGUGGCGAAGGCGGGUCUCUGGGCCGAAACUGACGCUGAGGAGCGAAAGCGUGGGGAGCGAACAGG